UAAUAAUUAAUAUUAAUAGAAACUUCAAUAUAAUUAGGCCUUCGACCUGUAAAAACCCCCUAAUAACAAACUUGGUUUUAUAUUUUAUAAAUUUAUUAUUUUGUCCUUUUUUCAUUUAAAUACCGGCCGGGUAAAAACUAGUUUACGGCCUGUAAAUAUUGUAAUCUUAGGGAUAAAACGGAAGGUUUUUGCAAUAAUAAUUUGGUCGAAUUUAACCGUUAAAAUUGCUAACUAUUUAAUAUUUUUAACGUUUUUUUAAACCUAUUAGUAAUUAUUUGGUUCGCCGUUUUUAAUGGGCUUUCUGAUUUUUUUUGGUUAAAUAAUAGGAAUAAUAUACGUAAUUAAUAUUUAUUGGAUUUGGGUUCUCGAACUGCAAAUUUAAUUCCAUAUUUUAUAUUUUAAAUGCCGAAAACACCGGAAUUUCCAUUAUUUUAAAUAUCAAAUUAGGUACCGUUACCGUUUUAAAUUUUGGGGGGGGGGGGGGCGAAUAAUAGGUUAUAUAGGCCAGGGAAAUAUUAAGAUUGCGGGAAAUAAAAAAUUAUUAUCCAUUAAAUCCAAAUUUUUGGCGUUAUAAAUUUCGUUUUCGGGUUUAAAAUUAAAAUCCCCUUUCAAAUUUGGAUUUUCCCUUUUUAAAAUUUGUAACGUUUUUUUAAAAUAGCCAAGUUUUUAACGGGUAUAUUUUUUAAAAACUUUACGGUAAAGGCUUUAUUUACGGCCCGUUUAAUAAAAAUAUUAACCAACGUUGUAAAGUUGGAUAAAUAGGUUAAAAACCUUACUAUCUUUAUACGGGGAACCAGUUUGCUGGAUUUUUGGCGUUUUUCUAGCGCUAUAAUAGUUUAAUAUACCGUAUUAAUAGCCCGAAAAUGGUUUAAAUUAGGCCUGUAAUAAUCCAAAUUGAAAUUCGGAGUAAAAUUCCUCGUAAAAUGUUAUUUCCCUGUUUAUUACCGCUGUACGGUUUAUUAAAUUAACCACGGCCGGUAAUAAAUAAUAUUUUAAAUAUAAUAGUAGCCCUAUUAUUACAAUGAUAAAUUCAAGCCUAUUUAAAAUAAUUUUAGCGGAACGUUUCGUUAACCCGUUUUGGCCGUAAUCAUAAGGGUUAAAAGUGCUAAAAUUAAUAUUUUUAUUUGCAAACCAAUUUUGAAAUUUUAUAUUUACCUCGUACCCCCCAUUAAAAUGAGAAUUAAUAGCGUACCGCCCGUAUAUAAUCUUCAAAAACUUGAAAAAAUUUUUAAUACCUAUUAAAACCGUAGGUUCGGUUUUAUUUCGUAAUAAAUCGACCACCGAAAACGUAAUUUUCGAUCCACUAAUAAUAAAAAUACAGCCUUUUUAUUAUAAGGGUUAAAUGUUAGCUAUAUAUAUUAUUUUGCAUUUAAUAGGCCCUUUUUUAUUUAUAUAUAACCCAUUAUAUAUAAUUCCAAAAUGGGGUGGUCGAAAAUCCGUUAAUUUGUUAAAUGCAGAAAUUGCAAUUUAAAAAUUAGCGAAUGGGGUUAAUUACCCUGUACCGGGUUAUAGAAUUCACCAAAACUAUAAUUGCGUACAAAUUUAAAAAUGGUCUGUUAGCAAAUAAAAAUAUUUUUUCAAAAACCAUACAAAUUAAUUUUUCGGAAAUUUAUUUGCGGUACCGGAAUUCCUUUUGGAAUACCGACCCCCAUUUCGAUAUCGGAAAUUAUAUAAAAGGACAAAAUAAAAUCCUCCCACUAAUAUAUUAACGUCUAUUUGCGUAUAACGUUUUUUAAUAUUGGUUAACACCACGCCACACUUAUAAAUUACCACCUAUACCCUCUAUUAGCAUUUAUAUUAUUAAAAAAUGCAAUACUUUUUAAUCCGUUAAUAUAACCGGCGAAUAUAUUAUUAAAUGCGCGGUAUGUAAUAGAAAUAUAUUUAGCGGGUAAUACUUCUCAAAGAAAACCUACUCCAACGUAUAUUUUAAAACGUAAUUCUUUUUCAAAUAAUUAUUUUGGAUUAAAAUAGCGAUUAUAAUAUAUAAUAUACGGGAACGGAAUAUAUUUUAUAAAAACCGUAAAACGUGGUAAGAUUCCUUGUUAUAUUUUUGCAAAUAAUAGUAUUUCCCCAAACCGGCUCUAUUUAUAAAAAUAAUAAUAUAUAUAUUUGCCAAAAUAAUUAAUAAAAUUAAAUUCGAUAUGGAAAAAUCCUGGGAUGGGAAAUAUUUAUUAUUUCCUGUCGAAAGAUUAUAACAAUUCAAUAUAAAUUAUUUGGAUAUUACGGAUAUAUUACGUGGUUUUUUAAUUUUUAUAUAUAAAAAAUAAAAUGGAUAAACAACCGAAAUUAAUAGGUUACAAAUUGAAAAAAUAUUUGAAAAAUAUUUUAUAAAUUUUAAUAACAUUUAUAUAUUCCUCUUCGUUUUUUAUAAUAGCGGGAAUUUAAAUCAAAUAGGAAAUUAGUAUAUUUUGUGCGAAAAUAGGAAGUUGCGGGAUUAUUUCGGGGGAAUAAAAAUAACUGGGGAAUAUAUAACCACAAAUUUAAUCCAAAAUAUAAUAUUUAACGUAUUUGUAAUAAUUAUCCGGAUAUUGCAAAAAAUUCGACGUUUGUAACAAUUUAUAGUGGAAAAAUAUUAUAAUAUAUUAUUGGAAUUGCAAAUAUUGUUUAACUUUUAAUAUUAAUAUAAAAAAGUACGAAAUUAGGUUUUAUAUUCGGGUAUACCAAUUAUAUUCAAAAUUUUGCAUUUUGUCCAUAAAACUAAAAUUAUUAUAUACGAAAAAUAAUAUUGGGUUAUGGGCGAUUCUUUUUCAAAUUAUUUUGGAUAUAUUUUAUAAUUAUUAAUAUAAUAUUAAAUGUAAAUAAAUAUCCCGCUAAUAACGUAUUUCGGUAACGGUAAUUAAUUUUUGGAUUUACCGUUUGGUAAUUUUAUAUAAUAAAUAUAAUUUAAACGCGGAUAACGUAUUUAUAAUGCGUUUUAAAAUUGCAUUUUAUAUAAAAUAAAAGGAAAAUACAGGUAUUAAAUAAUUGUUUUUAUUUGGAAAAUGGGCGUUUGUAAAAAAAGCGAAUAUAAAUAUAACGCGAUAAUUUAUUAUUAUUGGGGGUUAUAUAAUUUGGAAAAAAGCGUUUAUAUUUUUAUAUACCGCAUUUAAAAAUUAUAACGACGGGUAAGAUAGGCGGUAAUUGCGUUAUUACUAUAAUAAUAAUAAUAAAAGUAUAAACAAAAUUGGAAUUAUAAUUAAUAUAUUUUCGUCGCAUAUAUCGAAAAUUUGUUUUAAUUAUUAAAGAUUACAAAUAUUUUUUGGCGAAAUAUUUUUCCGUACCCGGAAAUUGGACAAUUAUGGGAUCGAAAAAUUUGUAUUUAUAUAAAUAUUAUAUUAAUUUUUGGAAUUUUUGGAAUUUUCGGCGUAAAAAAACGUUAAUAAUAGGGGAAAACGGCUCGUUAUUAAAACGGAAUUUAAUAUUAUUAUUACGCAAACGUUAUCGAAUAUUAAUAUCGCGCAAUAUUCUUUUGAUAAAACGUAUAUAUAUUAAAACGGGCCGAAUAAUAUUAUUAAUCUUUGGUACCGUUAACCAAACAUAUAUAAAUUGGCGGAAAGUUGUGCGACGGGUACCGUUAUAUUACAGUUGUAAAAUAUCGCGUAUUAUAAUAAUUUCGGCGUUAUUUUGGGUGGUAAAAUUAACGCGUUCCGGUUCGUGGACGUUUAUAAGUUGGAAUUAGUCGAAUAAAAAUCGCGUAAAUUCCUUUUCCCGUUUCUUUUUAUAUAGGAAAUUAAAUAACGAAAAUUGCGAUAAUGUGGAAAAUAAUAAUAUAAUAUCCGAAAAUAAACAAAUAAAAUUUAAUAAUAAAAAAAUUUGCAAUGCGGGUUGCGUGGAAAGGAAUAUCGCCGGGGGACUUAGCGUAAUAAUUAGUAAUAAUAAAUUUUCUAUUAUAUUUUUAUGCGAAUAAUAUAAUUAAGUUAUUUAUAGGAAGUUUAAUAGGUAUAAACGUAUAAAUAAUAACUUUUUUUUAUUUGUAAUAUAAAUGGUGGUUAUUAAAAUUAUUAAAUUGGUAACGCGUUGGGGAAAUCUGCCCGUAAACGGCGAAAAUCGACAAAAUAUUUUUAAAUUAAAAAAAAACGUAAUUUUUUCCGCCAAUAUAAUUGGUGGAAAACCAUAUAACUGGUAAAGUAUAUGGAACGCUCGGUCCAUUUUGCGAAAUAAAAGGGUUUUAAUUUAAAUUUUAAAAUUACCCUGCGUUGCAAAUGGACCGAGCGCUCCAUAUACCUUACCAGUUAUAUAGUUUUUCGACAAAUUAUAUUGGCGGAAAAAAUCGCGCUUUAAACCGAAACGUUUUUGGCGUGGACCCACAAGUAUAUAUUAAAGCCACGGUUAAACCACAGGUUUAAUUGUGGAGCUACGGGUUUUGAAAAUAAACCCUAAAAUUACGCAAUUUUUCAAUUAAUUAUUUUUUAAAUUAUUAAAUACGCUGUGCAGGAAUGGGAAACUGAGAUUAUUUUUAUAUUUUUUAAUUUUAUAUAACGGUCGGAGGAUUGCCAAAUAAUAAUAAAAAAAAGCUAUUAAUAGGAAAUCGUUAUUUCGGCCACCAUUGGUAAUUAUAGUAAUUCGAAACCAAUACACCGUCCAAACAAAUAUUAGGAGGUUUUUAAAAUUCUUACCCUUAUAAUACGGGACUAUUUGCGAAAUAAGGGUAGACGAUAUGGGUAUUAUAUACGUUUAUAAUAUAAGUUGUUAACGAAGCGUUUGGUUUGCAUAUUAUCUUCCACUUUUAUUAUAUAUUAAUUUAUUUAAAAGGGGGUAUAUAAUAUAUUUAACAUUUGGUAAAUUUGAAGAUUACCAAAGACGCACAUAUAUAAUACCAAAAUAAGAAAAGAAAAAAAAUAUAUAUGUAUAUAUAAUACCGAGAAUUCCACAGUGGUUACCCAUUUAAAUACCAGCUCGGCCCUUAUUAAAUCGGUAUAAGGAAAAAACCCUGGACUUUGGAAUUCUAGGCGUCCAAAAGCGAAAGUUAGGCCGUGCAAAAACGGACGUCUUUGUAAUUUUAAUAUUAAAAUUAUUACGGAUGCAGGCGAAAGAAAAUUACCCCUUGUUACUAUAUAUAUAAACCGGGGCUUUUAUUAAUUUAAAUAUUGGCGGAAAUUACCAAAUAUUUAAAAAUUAAAGUUUUUAAAAACUAUUACUAAAACCGGUAAAGCCCACAAACACAUAUUAGCGAAUAUUGUACUGGGGGAUAGAUUUUUACCCCUAUAUUAUAACCAGGCAAAUUGGGUUAACACUAGGAAAACUAGGCGGGGUUAUACCCCUUUUUAUAACAUUUGCCCAAAAAAACCAUCGACCGAAAGAAAAAAAUUAUAUAAAAAAAAAUUACGUAAUACUAUAUAAUUGUUAAAAAAAUUAAUUUUGGUAGUUUGUAAAAUUUAAAUUGGAAAUUACAAAUUGAAUAAAUUAAAAAAAAGUAUAUUGGGAAUAUAAAUUAUAUAAGAUAUAUUUAUGACCAAAUAAAUAAGUUCGCUUUUAAAAUUAUAUAAUAAUAAUUAAAAUUUAAUUGAUUUUAAUAUUUAUUUAAAAACAAUUAUAAUUUUAUUUUUUAUUAUUAAAAACCCCAAUUACCCAACCAAACUUUUAAUUAUUUUAACUUAUUAUAUUUUAUAAUAAAGACAUAUUACCCGAUAUUUUAAUUGGAAUAUUUUAUUUAUUUU
rnacentral:sRNA from 1 species